rnacentral:rRNA from 1 species
AUUGAACGCUGGCGGCAUGCCUUACACAUGCAAGUCAAACGGUAACAGGUCUUCGGAUGCUGACGAGUGGCGAACGGGUGAGUAAUACAUCGGAACGUGCCUAGUAGUGGGGGAUAACUACUCGAAAGAGUGGCUAAUACCGCAUGAGAUCUACGGAUGAAAGCAGGGGAUCGCAAGACCUUGUGCUACUAGAGCGGCCGAUGGCAGAUUAGGUAGUUGGUGGGAUAAAAGCUUACCAAGCCGACGAUCUGUAGCUGGUCUGAGAGGACGAUCAGCCACACUGGGACUGAGACACGGCCCAGACUCCUACGGGAGGCAGCAGUGGGGAAUUUUGGACAAUGGGCGCAAGCCUGAUCCAGCAAUGCCGCGUGCAGGAUGAAGGCCUUCGGGUUGUAAACUGCUUUUGUACGGAACGAAAAGCCCCGGGUUAAUACCCUGGGGUCAUGACGGUACCGUAAGAAUAAGCACCGGCUGACUACGUGCCAGCCGCCGCGGUAA